AUGUACAGAGGUUUCCCUCAAACACUAGCCAAUUUACUAAAUGAUUCCAUCGACCAAUAACCUAGAGGUAAGCUCGGAAACUUAACCCACAAGGGUACCUUGUUCAGGAACUCAGGGUUAAACUUGAAUUCGAAUGUCCAAUCCUUUAGGAUAAGUGGUCUAUUCCUAUAUAUGUAAGGACCUGAUUGUAUCACUAGGUCCCUAUCGGCCAUCGUAGCAAAUUUAAAGAUGUAAUAGCCAUCGUCGUGAUAUAGUACCUUUGGUUUCAUCAUGAAAUUCCACAUAUAAACUAUGUAAUUCUCCAUAGAUUUGAAGAAUGGUGAAUCCCCCAGCACAUAUCUAAUCAAUGCAGAGCUCCAGUGAUUUGCCUGAACAAAUAUAUCCUCCUUCUAAAGCUGCACAAUUAUUUUCUCUCCCUUCACCAUCGGUGGUAUAUCAGUGCCUUCCCCAUUUGUGAGCUUCGAUUUGGGGGUUUCACCUAGUCCUUCUCCACUUCUAUCUUUACCUCAGCUUGGGCUGGGGGAGCUUGAGACGAGGACCCACAUCAGAAAAUUGCAACCUCCAGGGAAAUUGUGAGUCCUUUAGUUUUCUAGUAAUCCUCUUCCCUACUGGAUCAUGUUUUUCCAUUCUUA
rnacentral:lncRNA from 1 species